UACAGAGGGGGCAAGCGUUGUUCGGAAUUACUGGGCGUAAAGGGCGCGUAGGCGGCCUGCUAAGUCGAACGUGAAAUCCCUGGGCUCAACCCAGGAACUGCGUCCGAUACUGGUUGGCUUGAAUCCGGGAGAGGGAUGUGGAAUUCCAGGUGUGAGCGGUGAAAUGCGUAGAGUAUCUGGAGGAACACCGGUGGCGAAGGCGACAUCCUGGACCGGCAUUGACGCUGAGGCGCGAAAGCCAGGGGAGCAAACGGG
rnacentral:rRNA from 1 species